rfam:Brassica rapa chromosome A9, whole genome shotgun sequence.
GCUGUGGUGGCGCAGUUGGUUAGCGCGCGAGUCUCACAGCUAUUGAGUGAUCUCGAGUUCGAGAGUUCGAACCUCUCUUACCCCA